rnacentral:tRNA from 1 species
GACUCAGAAGAUAAAGAAUCUGCCUGCCAUGCAGGACACCCAGGUUCGAUUCCUGGGUCA